rnacentral:lncRNA from 1 species
AUUUCCAUUGCCCUGAAUAAAGUGUGGAGCUGGUGGCCUCCCCUGCAGCCUUGAGCAGGAAUUCAGCUCAGGCUGUGUCACAUGAGCACUGAGCUCCAGGGCCAUGGACAAGUCUAGAGGCGAUAUAGCUGCAGACAGGUGGAGGACACUGCAAGAGGAAGGCUCCCAUUUAGCAGGAAAACUGCCAGCUGGGAAGAAUGCUGGUGGCUGCCUGAGUUGGGAAGAAUUCCCAAGCCCUCUGCAAGCUCAGAAGCCAGGAAAUGAAUGGGAAGCAGCUGGAGUGGGCCAAGCAAGUCAAGGCAAAUGGCCCAGAAGUGAGCAGAAGGGGGCCAGGCCCACCCCCAGGAAACCCAGCAGAGGUCAACUAGGCCUGUGGCACUGGAGGAGGCUAGGAGAGGACUUUCAACGGAAUCCUACAAAAGAUCUGGCUAAGAGCUUGGCCAAAGACUAACAAAUACAUCCUGGAUAAAAUUAAAUUUUUGUCCUUGUGAUGCCUCAUCAGAGGGGUUAAAAACAUCAGUUCGGGUCUAUGAUCUAUGCACAAUUGAGAACAUCUACUGAAAGCAAUAAAUGCCUAAUGCCCCAGGCUAGAAUUGGUAGCACCUUGUGACUAAGUUCUGCUCAAGGAAAUACAAGCAGAAGUAUCAAAUGGGACCUACUAAGAAGGCUGCUAAAAAGAGGCCAACUCAGCUGCAAAAAGAAUGCUUUUAUCCUUCUGGGGUUUCUCCUUCCUGCUGCUUGGAAUGCAGAUGUGAUGGCAAGAGCUCAAUCAGCCAUACUGACUCAUGAGGCAACUUAAAGACAAAUGUCACCAGUUAAGGAUGGAUAGCAGAAAGAAGGAAACUGGGUCGGUGACUUUACAGAGAUAUCAUAAUACUCUUGGACGUCUUACAUCA